rnacentral:rRNA from 1 species
GGGGCUUUUAAAAUUUAAGUCUAACCUGCCCACUGAAAUUUAAUGGCCGCAGUAUUUUGACUGUGCUAAGGUAGCAUAAUAAAUAGUUUUUUAAUUGAAAGCUGGUAUGAAAGGUUGAACGAAAAAAAUUCUGUCUCUAGAUAAAAUAUAGAAUUUUAUUUUUAAGUUAAAAAGCUUAAAUAAUAGUUAAAGACGAGAAGACCCUAUAGAGUUUAAUAAUAUUAUUUGUAUAAUUUAUAGAAUUUUGAAUUAUAUUUUUUUAGGUUAUUUUAUUGGGGUGAUAGAAAAAAUUAUUAAACUUUUUCUUUAUAAAUACAUUUAUUUAUGAAUAUUUGAUCCAUUAUUUAUGAUUAUAAGAAUAAAUUACCUUAGGGAUAACAGCGUUAUUUCUUUAAAGAGUUCUAAUCGAAAAAGAAUUUUGCGACCUCGAUGUUGGAUUAAAAUUUAUAUUUGGUGUAGCAGCUAAAAUAUUAAGUCUGUUCGACUUAUAAAAUUUUACAUGAUC